rnacentral:rRNA from 1 species
CAGGUGCUGCAUGGCUGUCGUCAGCUCGUGCCGUGAGGUGUUAGGUUAAGUCCUGCAACGAGCGCAACCCUCGUCGCUAGUAAUUUUCUAGCGAGUACUGCCCGUAUAACGAGGAGGAAGGUGGGGAUGACGUCAAGUCAGCAUGGCCCUUACGUCCUGGGCUACACACACGCUACAAUGGGUGAUACAAAAGGUUGCGAUAGAGCGAUCUGGAGCUAAUCCUGAAAAAUCAUCCUCAGUUCGGAUUGCAGGCUGAAACGGCCUGCAUGAAGUUGGAGUUGCUAGUAACCGCAGGUCAGCACACUGCGGUGAAUACGUUCUCGGGCCUU